rnacentral:rRNA from 1 species
CGGCAGCCGCGGUAAUACAGAGGGUGCAAGCGUUAAUCGGAAUUACUGGGCGUAAAGCGCGCGUAGGUGGUUUGUUAAGUUGGAUGUGAAAUCCCCGGGCUCAACCUGGGAACUGCAUCCAAAACUGGCAAGCUAGAGUAUGGUAGAGGGUGGUGGAAUUUCCUGUGUAGCGGUGAAAUGCGUAGAUAUAGGAAGGAACACCAGUGGCGAAGGCGACCACCUGGACUGAUACUGACACUGAGGUGCGAAAGCGUGGGGAGCAAACAGGAUUAGAUACCCCUGUAGUCCCUGUCUCUUAUAA